rnacentral:rRNA from 1 species
CUCCAGACUCCUACGGGAGGCAGCAGUGGGGAAUAUUGCACAAUGGGGGAAACCCUGAUGCAGCGACGCCGCGUGAGCGAUGAAGUAUUUCGGUAUGUAAAGCUCUAUCAGCAGGGAAGAAAAUGACGGUACCUGACUAAGAAGCCCCGGCUAACUACGUGCCAGCAGCCGCGGUAAUACGUAGGGGGCAAGCGUUAUCCGGAUUUACUGGGUGUAAAGGGAGCGUAGACGGCUGUGCAAGCCAGAUGUGAAAGCCCGGGGCUCAACCCCGGGACUGCAUUUGGAACUGUGUGGCUGGAGUGUCGGAGAGGCAGGCGGAAUUCCUAGUGUAGCGGUGAAAUGCGUAGAUAUUAGGAGGAACACCAGUGGCGAAGGCGGCCUGCUGGACGAUGACUGACGUUGAGGCUCGAAAGCGUGGGGAGCAAACAGGAUUAGAUACCCGCGUA